CAUCUGAUGAAGAGGACAUAUGAAUAACUCUGCAGUAGUUUUGUCUUUGAAAUGAAGAGCUGGAGAUGAAGAGCUUCUGAGGUUCCUUGUGAAAUGUAUUCUGUGUUUUAUAAGUCUGUCUAUAAAAUAUGCUAGAGCUGAAGAGACAUUGGAAAUGCAGAUGGACAAUUCUCACUCCACACCUUCAACCAUCCACAAAAUUGCUGUGAACAAAUUCUAUUAACCACAAGUGCUGAGAAAACACUUUAAAGCUGUUACACAGAAAUACACCUUGAAAGUGAAUAGAAAAAAAAAUCUCAAGAAAUGCUAUUUACACUAGAAGACUGAAUUAUAUGACAAGCUCAGCUAUUCAAAGAAGAAAAAACCUAGGGGGUGAGACUGCUACUUCUGAUAGCAAGGCUUAAACAAGCUUCGUGAGCAGCUUCUGGGAAGAAAGCAGGGAAAGAAGCUACAGUCUUCUCAUGGGCUGUUUGCACACAAAAGAAAACUGAAUAGAUUUUUUAAGGGCUUAAUGAGUUAAAUUUGUCCACUAUUAUGUCUUUUGGUGUCUUAUGUCUGAUUGUUGGUGCUCUCUUUAAGAAUUGGUAAUUAGAGAAAGGUUUUUGUGAGGGUAAAUCUGACAGAGGAGAGACAAUUUUUUUGUGGCUAGGCAAGUGAGUCUGUGGGAAGGAGGGCAAAUAAAUCUUUGUCAAAGUCCUGACUCCAAUAAAACCCUCUUUCUUUCUGGUUACCUGUAAUAAAAUGUGAAAGCAAUGA